rnacentral:rRNA from 1 species
AAUGAACGUUGGCGGCGUGGAUUAGGCAUGCAAGUCGCGCGACAAGGAACCUUCGGGUUCUGGAGGAGCGGCAAACGGGGUAGUAAGGCAUCGGAACGUACCCUCUUGUUGGGAAUAGCCGCGGGAAACUGCGAGUAAUGCCCAAUAAUCCCUACGGGGCAAAGGUCCGCCGCAGGAGGAGCGGCCGAUGUGAUACCAGCUAGUUGGUGAGGUAAUGGCUCACCAAGGCUUAGACGUCUAGGGGGUGUGAGAGCAUGGCCCCCACCACUGGGACGUGAGAUACUGCCCACGACACCUACGGGUGGGCUGCAGUCGAGAAUCUUCGGCGAAUGGGCGGCAAGCCU